UCAUAGGUAGCCAAGCCAAGUUCAAGCUUUCCACACAACCAAAAGGAGCUUUUACUUUCUUCAAAUAGUUAAUUCAGUUGAUGCAGAAACAAGAGACAGAUUUCAUUGAGACGCAAAAGGGAACUCUUGACAAGUUUAUUGUACAGGUAGAAACAAGAGACAGAUUUCAUUGAGACACAAAAGGGAACUCUUGACAAGUUUGUUGUAUAGGUAGAAACAAGAGACAGAUUUCAUUGAGGCGCAAAAGGGAACUGUUGAAAAGUUUGUUGUAUAGGUA
rnacentral:sRNA from 1 species